rnacentral:lncRNA from 1 species
GUUUGGUGUGGCCAACACUACAAACGCUCCUGUGCUCGACAGUGAUGGCAACGAGCUCCGCACUGGCACCCCAUACUUCGUUGUGUCGUCGAUAUGGGGUGCUGGUGGUGGGGGGCUUGACCCAGGCAGGCCUAGAGGAAAGCCAUGCCCGGAAGUCGUUGCUCAAAGAGGAUCUGGUGACAAUGGUAUUCCGGUGAUAUUUUCUAAUUCGGACUCCAAAGAUGGCGUUGUUCGCCUAUCCUCUGACAUAAACAUAGCGUUCGUUCCCCUCAGACCCAAAUUUUGCGAAACAACAACGGUGUGGAAGGUCGCUGAUUACGACCACUCAGCCGGAAAAUGGUGGGUGAUAACCGAUGGGGUUAAAGGGAACCCAGGUGCCAACACUUUGACCAGUUGGUUUAGAAUAGAGAAGACGACUACUGAUUUUGAUUACACAUUUAAGUACUGCCCCGCAGUAUGUGGAACAUGCCCAGCCUUAUGCAACAAAAUUGUGAGAGACUUUGAUGGAGAAAUGGUACGUUUGGCUCUCACCACUGGCCAUGGAUGGCCAUUUAUCUUUAAGAAAGUUGGAAAAUCAGCCAUGGAGAUUGAACAAGUUGUUCAUAAUUAGAUUGAAAGCAAUCAUUAUGCAUGAACUAGUAGUUACUACAUAAUAUUAGCUUCAAGUAAAUAAUGCUGAGGGAACUUAUUGUUAAGAUUGCCUUGUUUGAAGCGGCAGCAUGUAUAUAUAUAUGCUUGCUUACAAGGUUUGUCUCUCAGAGUCCUCCUCUUUGUACUCUUUUCAGCUUAAUGAAUAAACUGUUUACUUAUUUACUUCUUUUGUUGCCAUUGAUUCUAGUAGCAUUCGACUCAUUAACUUGGAUACAUUACCUUGUAAUUAACCAAAAAGUUAUGUGUAUAUAUAUAAAGAGUGUGUGAGAGAAAAAAUAAAAUACCAAGUACCAAGUGAAAAAUGUUAAUACUAGGAUUAUUCAAAGCGAUUUCAAUGAACAGAAAUGGAAUAGUCGUCGGGUGGUUAGGACAUUUUAUCUUUAGAGAUAAAGAAGGUUGGUUCAUGUUCGGAGUUUGUGGCCACUCCUUCAAUAAUAUCGUUUUUAAAGUUUAAACUUGUAUCACAUUUUAAACACGUAAUGUAUCUUACCAUUACAUCCAACAAUAUUAACCAUUUACUCUAUUGUAUUGUAUUGUAUUCUAUUAUUAAUUAAUGAUUAUGAUAUGUAUUAAGUUUAAGAUGAAUUUUCUCAGUAAUGUAUAUCAAUGAAAUCAAAUAUUUGUAUUUAAAGUUUUAACUCCACAUUAACUUUUUUUUUAUUUUGUCCGUUUGCUGGCGAUGAUUAGGAGAUUAAUGGUUGGUAUUUGUGGUUAGUAGCUUAUAACUCGAGGGUUGAUAGUGGCCCGACUCCACUUAAAUAAAAAAUUUUACAUUUAAAUUUCUUUAUAAUUUAUAAAAUUUUAAAUUAAUAAUAAAAAAUUAUAUUUUAACUCUCUAAAAUUAAUAAAAAUGAUAAAAAUGUAGAAGUAAAUUUAUACAAUUAAUGAUAAUAAUGAUAAGAAGUUGUUUCCUAUCACAUGGAAAUUUAUGGCAUCGUCCAUUUGGUUUUAUAUUUGUCCAUUUGCUUGGUUAAGAGUUGAAAGACAAACUAUAAUUAAAUAUACAAAACCAAACGAAUUUCAAGGGUUUUCUCUUCAAUUAUUGUCGAAUUUAGCUAAUUAUUAGUAAUUUUUAUUAUUUAAUUAUAAAAAUUAUAAAAUAGUGACUUAAUUAUAAAUAUAUAUAUAUAUAUAAAAUAGCCAUCUAAUUAUUUAAUUUUUUUCUUUUUUAUCAUCACAGGAUUAAUGGUGGUAAUUUUUAUAAUUGACAUAAUAGUAACUUUAACCAUUAAUAAUUAUACAUUAUGUCAAUUUAGUCUUGAUUCUAAAAAAUUUAACCUUUGACAUUUACACAUAUAUAAUUUGAUAUUUUUAUAAUUUUAUUUUUUACUAAAAAUAAAUCAUGAAAAUAAUAAAAUAUGCAUAAAAAUAAAAAUACAGCUACCGAGUAUAUGUCUUAUUGUAGAUUUAUAACAAUUAUCUUUUCAUAAAGAUAUUUUAUUAUAAAAUAUAUAAUAAGCACUUCCCUGUAACAAAUAAAAUUGUAGUAAACAAAUGAAAUUAUUAUAAAGAAGAAUUUUCUAUUUUCAUAAUAAUAAUAAUAAUAAUAAAAGAAAAGAAAAAAGUGGUUCUAUUAAUUCACCUCACAUUUGAAAUAUGUUAUAUGUAAUAAUAUUAAUGUCUUUAUCAAUUUUGGUGGUUCAUCCUUUCCCAUCUCUAUAAAUUUGCAUGCAGAACUAAAGCAACACAUAUCAACACAAUCUGUAUAACCAUGAAAACCACAACAGCUUCGGUGUUUCUUCUUUUCAUCAUCUUCUCAAUCACACCAUUGUCCUUUUCGUUUGGUGUGGCCAACACUACAAACGCUCCUGUGCUCGACAGUGAUGGCAACGAGCUCCGCACAGGCACCCCAUACUUCGUUGUGUCGUCGAUAUGGGGUGCUGGUGGUGGGGGGCUUGCCCUAGGCAUGCCUAGAGGAAAGCCAUGCCCGGAAGUCGUUGCUCAAAGAGGAUCCGGUGACGAUGGUAUUCCGGUGAUAUUUUCUAAUUCGGACUCCAACGAUGGCGUUGUUCGCCUAUCCUCUGACAUAAACAUAGAGUUCAUUCCCCUCAGACCCAGAUUUUGCCAAACAACAACGGUGUGGAAGGUCGAUGAUUACGACCACUCAGCCGGAAAAUGGUGGGUGAUAACCGAUGGGGUUAAAGGGAACCCAGGUGCCAACACUUUGACCAGUUGGUUUAGAAUAGAGAAGGCGGGUGAUCUUGAUUACCCAUUUAAGUACUGCCCCGCUGUAUGUGGAACAUGCCCAGCCUUAUGCAACAAAAUUACGAGAGACUCAGAUGGAGAAAUGAUACGUUUGGCUCUCUCCGCUGGCCAUGGAUGGCCAUUUUUCUUUAAGAAAUUUCAAACAUCAGCCAUGGAGAUUGAACAAGUUGUUCAUAAUUAGAUUGAAAGCAAUCAUUAUGCAUGAACUAGUAGUUACUAUACAAUAUUAGCUUCAAGUAAAUAAUGCUGGGAGAACUGAUUGUUAAGAUUGCCUUGUUUGAAGCAGCAGCAUGUAUAUAUAUAUGCUUGCUUACAAGGUUUGUCUCUCAGAGUCCUUCUCUUUGUACUCUUUUCAGCUUAAUAUAUAAACUGUCUACUUAUUUACUUCUUUUAUUGCCAUUGAUUCUAGUAGUAUUAGACUCAUUAACUUGGAUACAUUGUCUUGUAAGAGAUAGCUUAUCUCUUAACAACUGUUUGGGUCAACAAAAUUAAUGUAUAUAUGAAAACGAAUAUUGAAUUUGGAUGUCCAAUCAAUUUUUUUAAUUAAUUAAUUAAAAAGAAUUGUUUUAAUUCAAAAAAUCUAAAAGAAUUUGAUAAAAAAUGUGGAAGGGCACACUUGUAUGAUGAAUAGUAGUGAUAAUAAUGAUAGAAGUCGUUUUCCUAGCACAAGUAUGGGAUUCGUCCAUUUGGUUUUAUAUUUAUCCACUUGCCUGAGUGUUUAAGAGUUAAAAAGGACAAAACUAUUAAGUAGAAAACACCAAACGAAUUGGAAGGCUUUUGUCUUCUUCAAUUAGUAUGACCUAUAUUUCUUAUUAAACUUCGUAUUUUACAUUCAAUAUCAUCAUCGCAAUCAUUUUAAUUUAUUUUCAUGAAUAAACUUUUAUGUCCCAUUUUAAUUGAAUCAUUAAAAAUUAUUAAUUGAAUUUUUUUUAAGUCAAGUGAUACUAAUUUGAUUUUUUUAAAAAAGUUGUUUGAAUUAAUUUGAUUUCGUGUCAUAAUUGACAUAAAUGGCCAUUGUGAAUGGCAACAUCAAUAGUUAUUGAGUACAGCGGCUAAAAUUUUCAGUUAAAAAAAAAAGAAUGAAAGGAAAACAAAAAGAAAAACGUGGAAAGAAAGAAAGAAAGAAAGAAUAAUAAUAAUAAUAAUAAUAAUAAAUAAAAUAGAAUUGUGGGGGCGAUGCUUUUGAACAAAUCUUGAUUUAAACUAUAUAAAGAAAAUAUGUGUUAUAUAUAUAAUUAAUUAUGUACUUAUACUUAAUAUAUUAUAUAUCUAAUGUCAUAUUUUCAUAUUCUCAGGAAGUGGUGACAUACAAAUACUUGAUUCGAUUUAUUUCUUUAGCUCCCCGUGAAUUGUAUGUUUGUAACAUUAGGGAUAGAAUUUCUUCAAUUAUCCAAUUGACUGGACGUAUUGUGUCGAUUUUUUUUUAGUAAUAUACCUAGAAAUACCCGUUGAUUCUUUAUAAACGCUGUUUCGAACACAACUGGUACACUCUAAAAUAAUUUACUUGAACAUCAUUACUCUUAGCCAUGAACCUCCUUUGAGUUUUUAAUUCACCCAACUUUUUUAUUUUCCGAUCAAAAGCAAAGAAGAAAGGAAUGAAAAGAAAAGAAAGAAAUCAAAGUUGCUAACUCAAAACCAAAUCCUGAAAAUUUUCAUUUCAAUGAAUAUAGUAAGUAAAUAUAGAUUUAUAGUAAUAGCAAAUAAUAAGAAUUAAGUAAUAUAACGAUUUUUAAUUCUAUUUAGAAUCAAUUAAAAUAUUCAAAUAAAUAUUCAAUUAAAAUAAAUUAAACUGUAUAAAUUUUAUAAUUUUAAAUUAUUAUUUUUGUAUUAAUUUAAAAACAAAAUAAAUAUUAUAUACAAUGAUUUAGUUACAGCGUGUCAGCUUGAAGUCUAAGACUUUAUAACAUAUAAAUUUAAUAGAUAAUUAAUAACUAAAAAAUUAAAUAGCAAAAGCAUAAUUGCGCCACUUCUCACCAUUUUAAUGUAUGCAACUUAUUAUAUAUUUAUAUAUAUUAUCAUUUUAUUUUAAAUAAUUUAAUUUUAUAAAUUUAGGGAUAAAUCUCAAAAUUAUACAUGAACUUUAAUUUAAUAUGCAAUUGUAUAUAUAAACUUUAAUUUGGUACAAUUAUACACGUGAUACUUUAAUUGUGGUUUAAAUACUCACUUGAAACUUUAGUUUUGAUUUAAUAAUGCAUAUUUAAAUAAAUAAAUACAUCAAUUUUUUUAUAUUGGGUAAAUAUAAUUAUUUAUGUAUGCAAUAUAUAACAUAAAAUGAUGUUAUAUCAAUAAUUGUGUUAAUAAUUUUCAAGAAUUGGAUCAAAUCAAAAUUUCAUGUAUAAAAUUGAACAAAAUCAAAGUUAAUGUAUACAAUUGCACAUUAAACCAUAAUUCAUGUAUAUUUUUUUGUAUAUAUCCCAUAAAUUUAUUUCAUUAACUUUUUACCUAUAUCAUAUAUAGAGUUGUUCGUGAACCGAGCCAAGGAAUGCCUGCUCGAAAAAAUGAGAGGGUUUGGCAAAAAAAUAUAUGCCUAAAAAAUGGGCUUGGAUAAAAAGACAAGGCCCGUUUAGAAAAUGAACCGGCAUUGAGUAGGGUUUUUUUGUCCGGGCUCAGCCUAACCCGAAUUUUCAAUUAAAAAAAACCUUGUUGUUUUUGCUGCUAUUUUUCCAUAUCUUGGUGUUGUUUUCUCACUUUUUGCCGCUAUUUUACUACCAUUUCACUAUUAUGUUACUACUAUUUUUUUUAAUGUUUGGAUAUAGUAUAAUAAUUGUUUUAUUGUUAAUUUUAUCACUAUUUUAGAGACAUUUGUUUGUUAUGUUGUACUUAUUUUAGUUUUUAUUUAAGUAUAAAAAAAUUUAAAAUUUAUUUUCAAUUUAUUGAUAAACAUGUAAUUUAAUAUUUUCAGUGUAUUUAUUGUAUUAUAUUUGUUAAAUUUAUAUAAAAUUAAAAUUAAAAAAAUAUGGACCGAGAUGGGAGUUUAACAAAAAUUUAGGCCCAUUUUUCAAGUCGGGCCGAUCUCAAACCUAACAAUCGGACUUAAAAUUUUGUUAGAGCUCGGCCCAUCCCAUGAACAACUCUAAUUAUAUAUAUAUGUCAUUCUCUAAUAAUAAUAAUAAUAAUAAUAAUAAUAAGUGGAUAACAUAAAACUAGUAGUAAAGAGUAAGAAGACAAAGAAGAAUUAAGUGGAUAACAUAAAACGUGCGAAAACAUUUAUCUUCAAUUCUGACACAUAAAGCUAGUAUUUUUGGGUAAAGUAUAGAAAUGGUGAUUAAAUUAUUGUUGAUGUUCUAUUUUAAUUUUUAAUUUUUCUAUUUUAGUUAUUAAAUUAUUUGAAAUUAAAUUUUUUGGUUAUCAAAGGUUAACAGUAGUUUGAAAUUUAACAGAAAUAUUGAUGUGAACUUUUCUUAUUGAUUUAAUAAUAAAUUUAGCCUUCUAAUAUUUAUAUAUUCUAUUAAUUUGAUACUAAAUAUAAAAAUUUAACAAAUUUAACCUUCAAUAUUUACAAAUUUUGUUAUUUUAAUUCAAAUUCUAAAAAAAAUUUAAUAAAUUUAACCCUCAACAUUAAAAAAUUUGAUAAAUUUCAAUUUUUAAAAUUUUGUAAAUUCCUAAAAUAUAAAGCAUCAUUCUCCACCUCAUAGGAUUCCAUGUAAAUGGAUUUUCUUGAAUUCUUUACCAAGUUGUCUUGAGUUUAAUUUCUUCUUAUUUAGUUUGUGGAAUAAAUGGCAUAUAGUUAGAUGUCACUGCAGCUGACAAUGAAAGGUUUGACAAAGUUGAUAAAUUCAGAGCUUUUGAUGCUGAGCUUCAAAUCAGUCUUGCCUCCACUCACCCAAGAAAUCAACUUUACAAUUUUUAUUAAGUCUUAACUAGAUUAAUAUGAGUAUUGUUAUCAAUAUAGGAGAAAGUGAAUUUUAGUGCGUUGAAACACAUUAUCUUCUUAUUGAUGAAUUGAGGAGGGGCUAUGAAUAGUUUUAAAUAUUAUAUUAAAAAAGCAGAGAUAAUUGAAACCUACAAUAAUAUUGUUCAAAAAAAUUACCUAAAAACACGAAAUCUUACUCCCUGAAUUUUCUAGAAACACAAAUAUUUCUCCCUGCCUUUGAUGGUGUAUACAUGCAUGGCCAUGUGUGAGCUCCUGCAUUUUAACUAAUCAACACAGAUAAUACCCUCAAUGAGACAUUAAAAUUAACUUUUAUUUUUGUUUUUUCAUAAAUUUUAUAAUUUUGUAUUUCAAUGAAAAAAUCUAAAUCUAAGUUGAUCCGAGUCCAAAAAAAAAUCUGAAGCUGUAAAAAGUUUGAUCUGAGGCUGCUCAUUUGCCACCUCUAAUAACCAUUUGAUAGAGGUUUAAUAUAAAGGAAUUUAGAUUUUAGGAAUUUAUAAAAUUUUUAAAAUUAAUUUUUUAUUUGUAAAUACUAAGGGAUAAAUCUAUUGAAGUUUUUAAAAUUUGAACUGAAAUGUCAAAAUUUGUAAACAUUGAAGGCUAAAUUUGUUUAUUUUUUCUAUUUAAGACCAAUCUGAUAGAAUGUGUACACAUUAGAAGACUAAAUUUAUUAUUAGACCAAUAAAAAAAUGCCCAACUUAACGCUUUCUCAAAUUUCAAACCGAUGUUAAUAUUCAAUGACCAAAAUUUUUUAUUUCAAAUAGUUUAGUGACCAGAAUAGAAAAAAAAUUAAAAGUUUGAUGACCAAAAUAGAACGCGGAUAAUAAUUUAAUGAUAUUUUUAUACUUUAUCUGUUUUUUAUGAUUAUUUAUACAUAUCAAGUGGAGCUAAUUUAGGGAAAAGAAUCAAUGGUUAAGGUUGUUGUUGAUACUUAAUGAUCAGGGUCCAAAUUUUGCUAAUGUAAUUUUCCUUAUCAUAAUUUGUAUCUUAAUUUUGUUACCAAAAAAAUAUUAGUAAUAAAUAAUAUAUGCUCGAGAAAUGUACGUAUGAUUGAUUUAAACAAUACAUGUUGGAGUAAUUUACAUAUGGAUUUAAAAUAAAUUUUAAAAAUAAAAUAAAAUUUUAAAAAUCCAAAAGUAUUUUUUCUUUUAAAAAAAUUUAAAAAUAAUUUUUAAAUUAUUUACAUGAUUGAUUUAAAGGAUUUCUUUCUAUUAAUUAUUUUUAUAUUAAAUUUAUUUUCCUUUAUGUAUAACAUUUAAAGGGUUUGUAUAUAUGCUAACUCGCGAGUCAAUUAAAAUUUGUAUUAUAUUCAUUGAAUUUUUUUAAAAUAUAUAUUUUAUUAAUUUAUUUAUUUAUUUGAGACCCAUGAUAAACUUGUAUUUAAAGUUAUUGGUGCACACUAUAAAUUCAUAUAUUGAAAAUGAUAGGUGCUAAAAGUAACAUGUUUUAGUCUCAUUCUUAAUGUGUUUUUGGAUGAUUAUUCGAUAUAAAAUGGUUAAUUUUAUGCUACUAAACUUUUCAAUUUACGUUCUACACUUAAUAGAGCAUUUAGGAGCAAAAGAAGCGAAAAACGAGCGAAAAUAAAAAAAAUAGGAGCAAGUCUCAAAAGCCACACAGGCUGAGCCAUUCCACACGGGUUGGACACAUAACCGAGUGAGCCACACGACCAUGUGCUAGACUGUGUGGAAAUCGCAAAUUACACUCCAAACGGCGUGAAAACACGUUAAUUUUAAGGUUUUUUAAGCAUUUUAAUACCUAUACAUGACAAAGAUAAGAAGAGGGGAGAGAGUCGUCAGAAAAUAUUAAAGAAAACAACUUAAAAAACACCAUUGAAGCUAACUUUGAAGCAAAUUUUCAUCAAGAUUGAAGAUCUCAUUUUGAUUUUUUUGAAGUUUAUUAUGAGUUUCUUUAUUUAUUGUAGUUAUACUGUCUUUAGGAUGUUUUUAUUUGCUAUCAUGAACGAAUUUUCUAAAUACCUAGGGAGAUGAAUCCUAUCAUGAAUUAUGUUAUUUGAUUUCUAUUUUUACGUAAUAAAGACUUAGAUCUUAUUCUCAAUUAUGUGUGCUUAAUUCUUGGUUUAAUAUUUCUAGACUAUUAAUCAAUGUUUGAUGUGCUUAAAUCAGAGGAGGAAUAAACCCUAUUUAAGAGUAGAUCUAGCGUAAAUGAGUGGAGUUGCAUGCAAUCCUAGAAAUAGGACAACAUAAAUCUACCGUAAUAGAUCCAAAUCUAAUAGGGGAAUCUAUAGAUCGAGUUAAUACGAUGAUAGAGGUUUUAAUUAGAAAUAAAUUUCAGUUAAUUAACCUAGAGUCAGUUACUCUUAGUCUUGAAGAGAUAUAUUAGCAUAAUUUAGGGAUUUUUACAGAUCAAUAUUCUAAGUGACGAAGUUGUGUAAUAUAGAUUGAUAAUGACAUAUGAAGUCUAGGUAGAUUCUUUCCUAGGUAUUGUCUCGCUCUUGGUUAUUAUUUGAUUAUUUUCUUGAUUUGUGCUUUGUUGUGUUAUUUAGUUAACUAAUUUAGUUAAUUUUAGUUCCAACCAAUCACUCCAAUUUAUCAGUUAAAUAAUAGAAAAGACGGUAAUUACUGGUACUUUUAGUCUUUGUGAAAACGAUAUCUUUGCUCACUAUAACUAUACUAUUAAUUGAUGUGCACUUGUCUGAGUUAGAUUUUUAGUUGGUUUACGACUGCAAUCAAAAAACUCAUUAAGUUAGCACAAACUAAGUUAAUUAUUCGUUGGUUGCUUUAUUUUUUUUCCUGAAGUUUCGAUUUCAUCUUUCAUUAUGUACAACAAUUUUGGUAUAAAAAUAUCAAAUUCUCGACACUUAAUAUAUACCUUUGAAAUAUAAACACAUGCAUCAAUUUUUUUAGGUUCCUCACAACUUACUUGUCCAAAAUUCUUGUAUCUUUCAGUUCUCCUGAUUGAAUCAAAAUUUGACUUUGUAAUUAUUUUUUAAGGACCUCAAACUAUCAAUUUAUAGUAUAAAUUUUCAAUAGCUUUCAUUCUUUACAAAUUGGUCCCUAAUUAAUCAACAAUGGUAUUAAAGCUUAAGCUUAGGGUCCCGUUGUUUCACUGAAAAUGGCUUUCGAAAAAUAAUUUCUAGAAAAUGACUUACUUUCCUAGAAAAGUUAAUAUUUUCUGAUGUUUGGAUGAAUCAGUGUAAAAUAUUUUAUAUUGUUUGACAAAUUUCUUAAAAAUAUUUCAUAAAAGCUGUUUUCAAUGAAACAAACAUGCAUUUGAGAUUUUCUUAUCUUUUCAUUGUUUAAUUAAGUUUAUCUUAUAUCUAUAAAUUUAUAUUUUACAUUUUUUUGCAUAUAAUAAAAAUAUAUAUUUUUUAAUUCAGGUUCACUACCAUGUCACUUUUUAGUUACAUGACUACCAAGUGAGUAUUUUUUUUAUUUAAAAAUGUGACAUCAACAAAAUUGACAAAAAAAAAAUUUAGCAAUGUCAACAAUUGGACUUGAUUUUCAAAUCUGAAAAGUAGAGGGACUAAAUUCUUGAAAAUAAAAGUAUAGAGACUAAAUUGAAAAUUUGUGAAGAAUACAUAGACUUAUCACAUUUUUUAACUUUUAUACUACAAAAUAUUUAUCAUUAAUAUAUUUAUAAUUAUAAUAAAUAUUUAUUAUUAAAAUAUUAAUAUUAAAUAUUUUCAAUAAGAAGAAUAUUAUUUAAAAUUAUUUUUUUUAAUUUUUUAUUAAAAUAAAAUUGAAAUAUUAAAUAAUUUAUUAAAAUAAUUAAUUUUAUUAAUAAUUAAUUUUAUGACUAAAUAUAAAUAAUUAAAUAUGUGUGUUUAAUAAUAUUGAAAUAUAUAAUAUUUUAUAUUAAUAUUUUAAAUAUUUUUAAAAAUAAAAAUAAAAUUUAUUUUCAAUAUAAUAAUAUUAAUAUUGAUUUAAAUGAAUUUUUAUAUAAAAAUAAAAUUACCUAUAGAUGAGCUCUUUUCCAGAAAAUGACUUACACUUUUCAAAAGGAUAAGUCAUUUUAUAGGAAAAAGAGUUCAAUUUUACAUUGACCUGUAAGUCAUUUUCCGAUGACCAAAAUGUUUUCUGUAAAAUAAACAUAAGAAAAUGAAGAAAAUAUUUUCCGUAAAACCUUUUACAUGUAAACAAACGGACCCUUAAUUCAAGCUUGUUCUAACAUAACCCACUUCACUAUUAGCAUGACUCUUCCUUAUACUAUGUUUAACCAUUAACCCUUCUCAUGAUUUCUAACAAAAAUUCUCUAAGUUCUCUUUAAUGGAAACUUCUAUUAGCUUCAACAAUAAGAAAUUCUAACCAUUGGGUUGGUUGUAUCAAGUUUCAUAGUUUAAAAAACUAUAAAAAAAUUAUUUAGAAAACAAUUUGUUUACCUUUGAUGGCCUUGAUGGAGAACAACUUGGUUUCUUCUUCUACUUAGUUUAAAGAAUGCAUGAAGAAGAAGAAGAUUUCCCCUCUCCCUCUAUCUUAAAUAUAUAUAUAAAUAACCUAUUAAUCAAGGUAAUUAACUCACUAAUUAAUCUUAAUUAGUUAUGAUCUAAUGGCCAUAAACUUACCAUAAGAAAAUUAGUGGAAAUGUGUGGCAUUGAUAAUGGUUUGCCAAUAAUCAAACUUCGGGCAUGGUAAUAUUGCAAUCAGGUCCUUGGUUUAAUUACACUUUAAGUACUUGCUAAAUUCUCUAAUCAAUUCCCACUAGUUGGAUCACUUGAACAAUUGGGUCCAUGUAUUAUAGUUACAACUUAUCUAAUUUAAUCAAUUAAUGAUUUGACUUUAUAAUUUCAUGUGCAACACACAAACUCCUCCGGUAAAUUCUCAAGCUAGCUUUAUUUAAAAAUUUGGCCUCAAAACCAGCUUUCCAAAUGUUCAUGAAAAUUGAGUUGUUACAUUAUGGUAUUUGUUUUGUUCAGCUUAUUUGUCAAGCUCUAUUCCUUUGAACUUAUGUUCGUUGACUUUGGUGUUGCUUAAAUGAAAAUGUGGUGAACAAUAUUAUGGAUAGGAGGAGUGUAUGAUUGAGUAUGUGUAACACCCCUAACCCACAUCCUUCGCCAAAUUAAAGUGACAGAGUGUUAUUAUUCAAAACAGAACAUUCCAUGACAACACAUAAACAAUUAUGCAAAUUAUCACAAUCAUUAAUUAACCAUAUUAAAAUAUAACAUAAGUAUCCAUACGACCUUUAAAUCGAGCUUAUAUGGCCUUAAAAAUAGCUUGGGAUCAAUCUAGGAUCAAUUUGGAACAUAACAUAAAUUUUAAGAAAAAUCUAAAAAUUUUGGGAAACAUGGGUCACACAACCGUAUGUCCAGGCCGUGUGACAUAGCCCAGACCUUGUGGGAAUUCAAAAUCAGGACACUCAAUCAUGUCCUAGCCCGUAUGUCUACCUGUGUGAAUAUUUGAAAUAGGGUCCCACAGUCGUGUCGCGGCCAUGUGCUAAACCGUGUAUAUAUUCAAAUUAUGAACACAUGGCCGUGUCGCAAGCCAUGUGCUAGACCGUGCUCAAAACUAUUUUGAGACACACAGCUGUGCCUUAGGCUGUGUGAAAUUUUCACUUUAGACAACGACACACAGCCGUGUGCCAGACCAUGUACACCAAAAUGUACCUUAAAAAUCAAAUUUACCAAAACAUGUUUACUUAGGCAUCAAGCAACCUAAUUACCAUCAAUCAAACUCAUUCAAAACACAAUUAAACAGGUUCAAAACAUCCAUCCUAAGUGCCUAGCCAUUGUGCCCUCAUUGACAUCAUAAUUCAAUAAUCAAAUCAAUCACAUUUAAACCAAGAUUUAAACAUUCAAAUUAUAAAAUCAUCAUUAACCAUUCAUACCAAAACACUGAUCAUUUCAAGUCAUAAACACCUAGCAAUAUUCACAUACUUUAUAAAGCUUAACUACCAAUACCAAAUAAGAUCCAUACACACAUACAUACCAAACAAAACACAUAUUCACAAGUAUCAUUCAAGAUUUACAACUUUACAUGUAAUUAACAUAAUUUCAAGUCAAUUAUUACAUGUCAUACAACCCAAAACAAACACUAAACAAACUACCAAUAGUUUCUCGAAUAGUGUGAUUCUUGAAAUCAAAUUGAUCACCCGAAGCGUCAAAAAUAAAUCUACAAGAAAGCAUUGGAAGAGACACAAGAGUAAGCUUACUUAAGCUUAGUAAUUUCCAUGGAUUUAAACAAUCAACUUACCGGAUAAACUUAUCUAAUAUAGAGUAUAGAAAAGUCAUAAAUCAUAAUCAUGUCAUCCAUAAUCAGAUCACGAGUGAGUCUUAAACUUAAAUAUGAAUGAAUUAAUUCAAUCAAUUACAUUAUAUCACUAAAUUAUACCCGAUGAACGUUGCAAUGGAUUUGGAUACACAGUUAACCAACCAAACACUCCAAAUCACUCAAAUGAGCUAGCCAUCUGAAAGUACACAUGGGCACCAAGUGCCAAGCCCAUAGGCUAACAUCCCUCCGAAACACACCUUGUCACCAAGUGCCAAGCCCGUAAGCUUUACAUCUGCCCCAGAAACACACCUGAAGCACUGCAAUAUAACGUAAUAGUUCGCAACAAAUGUUGAACUUCAAUAUAUUCAAUAAACAUGAAUAAGAUCAGAAUCAUCAUCUCCACAUCCACCAAUCUCGUAAAGCGCACGAUAUAACUUAUUGACAUGCCAAUUGUAUCCUAUCAUACAUUCAUCGGCUCACAUAUUUGUCAUUUAACAACAUUUAAUACAAUUUCUUUCCCAAAUCAUUUCACUUACCACAAUUCAAUACUUCCAUGUCAUUUAAUAAUUUCAAUCCACAAGUAAUUAAAUAUUUAAAUUAUACUAAAAUUAAACUGUACAAACUCACUAGGGCCAAAUUGCAGAAACAACAAAAGUUCAGGGACUAAUCAACAACCUUCCCUUUUUCCACAAUUAUCAACUUGAUCUUGAUCUAUAAUAUAAUUUAUUUCAAUUAUUAGCCUCAAUUUUCAUAUUCUAAUCAUUUCAAAACAUAUGAUCUCUUAUUUAUAAAUUUACACAUUUAUCCCAAAUUUUUACAUAUUAUACAAUUUAAUCCCUAUGACCAAAUCAAGCUUAGUUCUACAAUUAAAUUCUCAAUCCAUAGAACUAAAUUUUAACCACAUCCAAAACAAUCCAUAUAUGCUAAAAUUUUCAAGAGUAACAUGUCUAUUUCAGUUAAAUCACUAAACAUCAAAUUUUGUAAAAAUCACUUACAAACUCAAUACAUAUGGUCACCAAGCUUCAACCCAAACUAUUUACUACUACAAAUCUUCGAAAAUUUCAAUACAUAAUUUCUAUACUUUGAUAACUUCACAAAUAAACUCCAAAACUAGCUAAAUUCCAUUAUCAAUAGCUCAAAACUUAAAAUUUGAUGAUGAAUAAACCAAGAAAAUACUUACAUGCAUUAAAAACUAACAAAAACCAAGAUCCAAGCCUUAGAACAAUGGUGUUUCGGCCAAACCUAAGAAAAAUAAAGAAGAUGACCACUACCCCACUUUUGUUUUACUUUCCUUUUAUUAUUAUAAUAAUCUUUAUUUAUGAAAUUAUAACAUUAUAAAACACCAAUUUAAUUUUUUUUCUCUCUUUACCGCCCAUAUUAACUAACUAUGGGCUAAUGGCAACAUAACCUCCCUUAGUUUACUAAUUUAAGCUAUUAUAUUAAAAUAAAUCUAUAAUAAGCAACUUUUCCACCUAUUACAUAUUAAUCUUUUUUCUUUAAUCAAUUCACUAUACGUUAAAUUUUCUAAACCAAAACUUAAUACGACACUGAUGACUUUGUAAAUAUUAAAUAAUUAAUAAUUCUAGACUGACACGUCGAAAGUGUAGUCCUAAAACUAUUAUUUUCGACACCACUGGAAAUCGAACUGUUAUAGUAUGAUUCUACCUCUUAGGGGGAGACGUAUUCUAGUUUCCUUUGACUUGUUUAGAUGAUGUGUUAAUCAUUUGCUACUGGUUUUGUCAAAAUGCCAAAUGGUGAGAUUGUUUCAAACUUUGUUCAUGUUCGAACAUUAGAUUAAACAAUGCUUAAUUUGAUGCAUUCAAAGAAUUUAUGUUGGCAUGUUUGACUUUAUAAUGAAAUGGCUUAUGAUUUAAUCUCGUUGAGUAGCAAAUGGGGAAGUGAUUUUGUGUUAUAACAUGUGAUGAUCAUUAUCUUUCAAUCAACUACCUUGAAGAAGAAUGGGAGGAGUUUGAACUUUUGUGGACUUUCGUAAUAUUUGAAGCUGCUAAGAUACUUGUUUAUAAAGACUUUUAUGAUAUAACUAAUCAAAAUAAUUCAUGUCAGAAUUUUUGGAGUUUUAAACUUAUGAAGACUCUAGUAUUGGCCUAUAAAUAGGCAUAAUUACCGCACAUUGAAAAUAGGCUUUUGGAGGGUUUAAGUUGGAUGCUUUGGUGAAUUUUUCCUGUGUUUUAUACAACACUCUUUUUUAAGUUUUUAUUGGGGGAUAUUUGCUUGAUUGUAAGUGAGAUAUUUUGGAGAGAGUGAUUUGUAAUAAUUUAGGUUCAAUAUUGAAGUUGCAAAUAACUACAAGGUAAUGGUAAUUUGGACUCUAGUCAAUAGUUAAUCAAGACGAAUUGUAAAUAAAAAUUAUUUUUUAAGUGAAACUUUACAGAAUAAAACUAGUGAACUCAAACUACGCUAACAAAUAUUAUAUACUAUCUUUCCUUACUUUACUCGUUGCUUUACCUUAUUUUAAAAUUGCUUUGUCAUAAAUGUAUUAUGUUUGACCCUUUCCGAUCGAAAUAAAAAAAUGAGAUUGAAAUUGUGAUAAAGCUAAAAAAAAGUUACAACAAAUAUGAUUAAUAUUAUUUUUAUAUAUACUUACUAAAAUUUAAAAAGGAAUUACAUUUAUCGAAUAUUAUUUUAUUUAAUAAAUAUAAUUAAUAUAUUUUAUAUAAAAUUUAAACUUUUUAUUAUUUGUUAGCUAAAUUUUAUUAUUUUUAUUUUCUUUAUGAAUAAAAUUAAUUUUCCUAAAAUUUGAGAUAAAAAAAUGUUAUAUAGAAAAUUAAAUUAGUAAAAAGUGCAGUUCAUACUUUAUAAUUAUUAUAAAUGAAAAAAUAUUAUAAAAGAUAAAUAUUAAACAUAAAAAAAUCAAUUCUAAAAUAAACUUAACUAUUAUAAUAAAAUAUUUUUAUAUAAAAAAGAAAUUAUAGAAAAGACUUACUGAUUAUAUUUCCAAUUUUCGACAUUCAUAAAAAAAAAGUGGUCCUAAUAAUUUAUUUAUACAAAAAAAAAAGUGGUCCUAUUAAUUAACCUCACAUUUGAAAUGUGUUAUAUGUAAUAAUAUUAAUAUCUUUAUCAAUUUUGGAGGUUCAUCCUUUCCCAUCUCUAUAAAUUCGCAUGGAGAAAUAAAGCAAUACAUCAACACAAUCUGUAUAACCAUGAAAACCACAACAGCUUCAGUGUUUCUUCUUUUCAUCAUCUUCUCAGUCACACCAUCAUCCUUUUUGUUUGGUGUAGCCAACGCUACAAACGAACCUGUACUCGACUUUGAUGGCAACGAGGUUCAAACAGGCACCCCAUAUUACGUUGUGUCGUACAUAUGGGGUGCUGGUGGUGGGGGGCUUGACCUAGGCAGGCCUAGUGGAAACCCAUGCCCGGAAGUCGUUGCUCAAAGAGGAUCCGGUGACAAUGGUAUUCCGGUGAUAUUUUCUAAUUCGGACUCCAACGAUGGCGUUGUUCGCCUAUCCUCUGACAUAAACAUAGAGUUCAUUUCCCUCAGACCCAAACUUUGCCGAACAACAACAGUGUGGAAGGUCGAUGAUUACGACCAUUCAGCCGGAAAAUGGUGGGUGAUAACCGAUGGGGUUAAAGGGAACCCAGGUGCCAACACUUUGACCAGUUGGUUUAGAAUAGAGAAGGUGGGUACUGAUUUUCAAUAUUACACAUUUAAGUACUGCCCCGCAGUAUGUGGAACAUGCCCAGCCUUAUGCAACCAAAUUGUGAGAGACUUUGAUGGAGAAAUGGUACGUUUGGCUCUCACCACUGGCCAUGGAUGGCCAUUUAUCUUUAAGAAAGUUGGAAAAUCAGCCAUGGAGAUUGAACAAGUUGUUCAUAAUUAGAUUGAAAGCAAUCAUUAUGCAUGAACUAGUAGUUACUACAUAAUAUUAGCUUCAAGUAAAUAAUGCUGAGGGAACUUAUUGUUAAGAUUGCCUUGUUUGAAGCGGCAGCAUGUAUAUAUAUAUGCUUGCUUACAAGGUUUGUCUCUCAGAGUCCUCCUCUUUGUACUCUUUUCAGCUUAAUGAAUAAACUGUUUACUUAUUUACUUCUUUUGUUGCCAUUGAUUCUAGUAGCAUUCGACUCAUUAACUUGGAUACAUUACCUUGUAAUUAACCAAAAAGUUAUGUGUAUAUAUAUAAAGAGUGUGUGAGAGAAAAAAUAGAAUACCAAGUACCAAGUGAAAAAUGUUAAUACUAGGAUUAUUCAAAGCGAUUUCAAUGAACAGAAAUGGAAUAGUCGUCGGGUGGUUAGGGCAUUUUAUCUUUAGAGAUAAAGAAGGUUGGUUCAUGUUCGGAGUUUGUGGCUACUCCUUCAAUAAUAUCGUUUUUAAAGUUUAAACUUGUAUCACAUUUUAAACACGUAAUGUAUCUUACCAUUACAUCCAACAAUAUUAACCAUUUACUCUAUUGUAUUGUAUUGUAUUCUAUUAUUAAUUAAUGAUUAUGAUAUGUAUUAAGUUUAAGAUGAAUUUUCUCAGUAAUAUAUAUCAAUGGAAUCAAAUAUUUGUAUUUAAAGUUUUAACUCCACAUUAACUUUUUCUUUAUUUUGUCCGUUUGCUGGCGAUGAUUAGGAGAUUAAUGGUUGGUAUUUGUGGUUAGUAGGUUAUAACUCAAUAGUGAACUCGAGGGUUGAUAGUGGCCCGACUCCACUUAAAUAAAAAAUUUUACAUUUAAAUCUCUUUAUAAUUUAUAAAAUUUUAAAUUAAUAAUAAAAAAAUUAUAUUUUAACUCUCUAAAAUUAAUAAAAAUGAUAAAAAUGUAGAAGUAAAUUUAUACAAUUAAUGAUAAUAAUGAUAAGAAGUUGUUUCCUGUCACAUGGAAAUUUAUGGCAUCGUCCAUUUGGUUUUAUAUUUGUCCAUUUGCUUGGUUAAGAGUUGAAAGACAAACUAUAAUUAAGUAUACAAAACCAAACGAAUUUCAAGGGUUUUCUCUUCAAUUAUUGUCGAAUUUAGCUAAUUAUUAGUAAUUUUUAUUAUUUAAUUAUAAAAAUUAUAAAAUAAUGACUUAAUUAUAAGAAUUAUAAAAUAGUGACUUAAUUAUAAAAAUAUAUAUAAAUAGCCAUCUAAUUAUUUAAUUUUUUUUCUUUUUUAUCAUCACCGGAUUAAUGGUGGUAAUUUUUAUAAUUGACAUAAUAGUAACUUUAACCAUUAAUAAUUAUACAUUAUGUCAAUUUAGUCUUGAUUCUAAAAAAUUUAACCUUUGACAUUUACACAUAUAUAAUUUGACAUUUUUAUAAUUUUAUUUUUUACUAAAAAUAAAUCAUGAAAAUAAUAAAAUAUGCAUAAAAAUAAAAAUACAGCUACCGAGUAUAUGUCUUAAUGUAGAUUUAUAACAAUUAUCUUUUCAUAAAGAUAUUUUAUUAUAAAAUAUAUAAUAAGCACUUCCCUGUAACAAAUAAAAUUGUAGUAAACAAAUGAAAUUAUUAUAAAGAAGAAUUUUCUAUUUUCAUAAUAAUAAUAAUAAUAAUAAUAAUAAAAGAAAAGAAAAAAGUGGUUCUAUUAAUUCACCUCACAUUUGAAAUGUGUUAUAUGUAAUAAUAUUAAUGUCUUUAUCAAUUUUGGUGGUUCAUCCUUUCCCAUCUCUAUAAACACUACACCAGAAUAGGUUUUUAGCGGCGUUUUUUAGGCCUUUAGCGACGCUUAUUAACGCCACUAAAUCUAUUUCCGGCACUUACAAAAAAAAGCCGCUAAAGAUCAUGUUCUUUAGCGGCGCUUAGGAAAAAACGCCGCAAAAAAUCAUGUUCUUUAGCGGCGCUUAGAAAAAAACGCCGCUAAAGAUCAUGUUCUUUAACGGCGCUUAGAAAAAAACGCCGCUAAAGAUCAUGUUCUUUAGCGGCGCUUUGGAAGAAAACACCUCUAAAAGUAAUGUUCUAUAGCGGCGCUUGUUCAAAAACGCCGCUAAAAGUAGUGUUCUUUAGCGUCGCUUGUUUCACAAACGCCACUGUUUUGAUAUGACUUUUAGCGGCGCUUUUUUAAAAAAUGUCACUAAUUUUGGGAUUUUUUUAAAAUAAAAUUUUCUGUUUUUUUCAGCCCUCCUGCAACAACAAAUCAAAAGCAACCAGAUCUAAACUAACCAAAAAUAAUAAAUUUAUAUAAUAUUUCAAAUUAAAUGAAUAAAAUAAUAUUAAUUGAUAUAAAUAAAAGUGAAUUUCAGACUUUUCUUUACAAAAACGUUAAAAGUAUUUAUGCAACAUACACUAUGACGGCGGAAGUUGCGACUGCUGAAACAUCUUCAUCAUAAUCUAAAGCUGCUGUUGAAGUUCGUCGUACUUUUUGCUCUACUUUGCUUCUCUCGAUGCCGCAUCUUUUUGAAGCCGUAGCUGUAGUUCUUCACAUUUCUUUUGAACCUCUGCUUCUAUCGCUGCUUAUCUCGCUACGGCAUCUGCUUCCCUCACUGCUGCCUCUGAUUUAAGUUGUUGCUGAAGUUCUUCAUAUUUCCUUUGAACCUCAAAUGUGGUCGCUUGCAUCUGAGUCAUCUAGUCUUUUAACCUCUGAACUUCAGCUUGAGACUGACUCCCCGAAGCCAUGUAUUGGUGCGAGCUGGAUCCAAAAUAUUGGGUUGGGCUGAUAAAAGAUCCUUGAAAUCGAACCCGACCAUACUUUUCAGGACCCAAAACUUUAGUAAUAAUCCGGUUAUCAAUGUCUUCAAGAUGAAUAGAACUAUCACUAGAAGCAAUCGUUUCGUACUCUGUCUUUUUUUCCUUCAGUUUUUCCUAAUAAAUAAAUCACAUAGUUAGGAACGCAAUAUAUAGUAAAAAAAACAAAUGCAAUAUAACAAUAGUCGCAUUACAAGCAAUGAAUUAAACCAUUAGAAAAUAAACACUAUAAAUAACUAAAACAAGUGAAAUCGUAUUAAGUAAACGUACCAUAAUUUCACCAGCUUCAGGAGUCAUAGCAGAUCCAUCUUUCUUCUUAUGUGUAAUUUCAAAAAGUUGAAGGCGUCCAACUUUUUGAUCGGACGACCGUUCCUACAACACUCUUUUUUAAGUUUUUAUUGGGGGAUAUUUGCUUGAUGUAAGUGAGAUAUUUUGGAGAGAGUGAUUUGUAAUAAUUUAGGUUCAAUAUUGAAGUUGCAAAUAACUAUAAGGUAAUGGUAAUUUAGACUUUAGUCAAUAGUUAAUCAAGACGAAUUGUAAAUAAAAAUUAUUUUUUAAGCGAAACUCUACAGAAUAAAACUAGUGAACUCAAACUACUGAACUCAAACUACGCUAACAAAUAUUACAUAUUAUCUUUCCUUACUUUACUUGUUGCUUUACCUUAUUUUAAAAUUGUUUUGUCAUAAAUGUAUUAUGUUUGAACCUUUCCGAUCGAAAUAAAAAAAAUGAGAUUGAAAUUGUGAUAAAGCUAAAAAAAGGUUACAACAAAUAUGAUUAAUAUUAUUUUUAUAUAUACUUAAUAAAAGUUAAAAAGGGAAUUACAUUUAUUGAAUAUUAUUUUAUUUAAUAAAAUAUAAUUACUAUAUUUUAUAUAAAAUUUAAAUAUUUUAUUGUUUGUUAGUUAAAUUUUAUUUUUUUUUAUUUUCUUUAUGAAUAAAAUUAAUUUUCCUAAAAUUUGAGAUAAAAAAUGUUAUAUAGAAAAUUAAAUUAGUAAAAAGUUAAAAAAAUCAAUUCUAAAAUAAACUUAACUAUUAUAAUAAAAUAUUUUUAUAUAAAAAAAAAGAAAUUAUAGAAAAGACUUAUUGAAUAUAUUUCCUAUUUUCGACAUUCAUAAAAAAAAAAAAGUGGUCCUAAUAAUUUUUUUAUACAAAACAAAAAAAAGUGGUCCUAUUAAUUUACCUCACAUUUGAAAUGUGUUAUAUGUAAUAAUAUUAAUAUCUUUAUCAAUUUUGGAGGUUCAUCCUUUCCCAUCUCUAUAAAUUUGCAUGCAGAACUAAAGCAACACAUAUCAACACAAUCUGUAUAACCAUGAAAACCACAACAGCUUCGGUGUUUCUUCUUUUCAUCAUCUUCUCAAUCACACCAUUGUCCUUUUCGUUUGGUGUGGCCAACACUUCAAACGCUCCUGUGCUCGACAGUGAUGGCAACGAGCUCCGCACAGGCACCCCAUACUUCGUUGUGUCGUCGAUAUGGGGUGCUGGUGGUGGGGGGCUUGCCCUAGGCAUGCCUAGAGGAAAGCCAUGCCCGGAAGUCGUUGCUCAAAGAGGAUCUGGUGACGAUGGUAUUCCGGUGAUAUUUUCUAAUUCGGACUCCAACGAUGGCGUUGUUCGCCUAUCCUCUGACAUAAACAUAGAGUUCAUUCCCCUCAGACCCAGAUUUUGCCAAACAACAACGGUGUGGAAGGUCGAUGAUUACGACCACUCAGCCGGAAAAUGGUGGGUGAUAACCGAUGGGGUUAAAGGGAACCCAGGUGCCAACACUUUGACCAGUUGGUUUAGAAUAGAGAAGGCGAGUCAUCUUGAUUACACAUUUAAGUACUGCCCCGCAGUAUGUGGAACAUGCCCGGCUUUAUGCAACAAAAUUGCGAGAGACUUAGAUGGAGAAAUGAUGCGUUUGGCUCUCUCCACUGACCAUGGAUGGCCAUUUUUCUUUAAGAAACUUCAAACAUCAGCCAUGGAGAUUGAACAAGUUGUUCAUAAUUAGAUUGAAAGCAAUCAUUAUGCAUGAACUAGUAGUUACUAUACAAUAUUAGCUUCAAGUAAAUAAUGCUGAGAGAACUGAUUGUUAAGAUUGCCUUGUUUGAAGCAGAAGCAUGCAUAUAUAUAUGCUUGCCUACAAGGUUUGUCUCUCAGAAUCCUCUUUGUACUCUUUUCAGCUUAAUAUAUAAACUGUCUACUUAUUUACUUCUUUUAUUAAUGUCAUUGAUUCUAGUAGUAUUAGACUCAUUAACUUGGAUACAUUGUCUUGUAAUUAACCCAAAAAUUAUAUAUAUAUCAAAAAAAAAAAUGAGAGUGAGAGAGGAAAAUAGACUACCAAGUAACAAGUGAAAAAUGGUAAUACUAGGGUUAUUUAGAGUGGUUUCAAUGCACAACCGGAAUGAAUUGUUACCUUAUCUUUAGAGUCAAAGAAGGGUUCGUGACUAGUCUUUCAACAAUACUAUUUUCAAGGUUCAAACCUGCAUUAUCCUUUAAAUACGUAAUGUAUUUUAUCAUUACGCUCAAUAUUAUUAGUGAUUUACUUUAUUCUAUUCUUAAUUAAUAAUUAUGAUAUAUAUAAAGUUUAAGAUGGAUUUUCUUAUUUAUGUAUAUCAAUUAAAUCAAAUAUUUGUAUUUAAAGUUUUAACCCAACAUUAACUUUUUUUUUAAAAAUUUCUUCGUUUGUUGGUGGUGAUUAGGAGAUUGAUGGCCGGUCUUUGUGAUUGGUAGCUUUUAACACAAUGGCGAAGCUAAGGAGGCUUUAAAUGUUUAAAUGAAUAUUUUUUUCAAUUGAAAUUUCUUUAUAAUUUAUAAAAUUUUAAAUUAAUAAUGAUAAAAUUACAUUUUAAUUUUUUAAAAAUGAUAAAAACGUGGAAGCACAUUUGUACGAUUAAUAAUAAUGAUAAUAUUUUUCCUACCACAUGGAAGUUUAUGGAAACACCAUUGGGUUUUGUAUUUAUGUUUUAUUCGACACUCUUAUAAGUUUUACUGGGGAGAUUUGUUUGAUUGUAAGUGAGGUAUUUUGCGGAGAGUGAUUUAUAAUAAUUUAAAAUUAAUAUUGGGGUUACAAAUAACUAUGGGAGUAAAGUAGUUUAGACUUUAGCUAAUAAUUGAUCAAGAUGGAUUGUAGAAUAAAAUCAUUUUCGAAGCAAAAUUUUAUAAAAUUAGUAAAUCUGAAUUAUUCUAUAAUAUUGAUAUUAUCUUUCUUCACUUUAGCCCUUGCUUCACCUUAUCUCAAAAUUAUUCUAUAAUAAUCUAUUUUGUCUCAACCUUUUCAACAGAAUUUAAAAUGAAACUAUUUCUAUGAAGUGCAAACCAAAAACUUUUUCACAUACCAAUAAAUGGCAAGCAACCAUACCGUGGGCCCAAUGUCCCAACAAUCAUCUAAACAUUUUUUUUUUCUUUUUUAAAUAAUAUGUAAUAAUUUAUAUACCAUAAAUGAAUAUUAAUUAAAAUAAUAUAAACAAAAUACGACUCUUUAAUAUAAUAUGGAUCCAAAAUGUUUCAUAUUUGAAAUGCAGUUUUUGAUAAUUUCACAUUUCAUAUUUUAUCUUAGAACAAAAAGAAAAUUUGAACUUAAUAUUUGGACUAUUGAUCAAUGGUGUUUAUUAUAUUUCAAGACUAUCAGAUUAAUCUGUCGAUACUACUUAUAUGGUAUGGUUUAAAUGGGUGUGUGUGGAUAUAGAAAUUUGAAAUUCUAUUGUAUCAAAGAAAUUUUUUUUAAAAAUAAAAUAAAAAGGAAUUUGAAAUUUAAAAUUUGAGAUCAAAAUAAAAAAAAUGAGACUUGUUAUAAACCAUAAGGCUCAAAAAAGGUUACAACAAAUAUGGUUAAUAUUAUUUUUAUAUAUACUUAAUAAAAGUUUAAAAUAUCAAAUUUGUAAUAUUAUUUUUAUUUAAUAAAAUAUAAUUAAUAUAUUUUAUAUAAAAUUUAAAUAUUUUAUUGAAAUAUUAUGUUAGGUAAAUUUUAUUAAUUUUAUUUUCUUUAUAAAUAAAAUUAAUUUUAUUAAAAUUUGAGAUAAGAUAAUUAAAUUAAUAAAAGGUAUACUUCAUAUUUUAUAGUUAUUAUAAAUAAAAAAUUAUUAUAAAAAUUAAAAAAAAAGAAUUCUACAACAUAAUGAAAUAUUUUUAUUAAAAAAAACAGAAAUGAUUGAUGGAAUAUAUUUCCAAUUUUCGACGUUCAUUAAAAAAAAAAGAGUGGUCCUAAUAAUUGAUUUAUUGGGGAAAAAAAAGUGGUCCUACUAAUUUACCUCACAUUUGAAAUGUGUUAUAUGUAAUAAUAUUAAUAUCUUUAUCAAUUUUGGAGGUUCAUCCUUUCCCAUCUCUAUAAAUUCGCAUCGAGAAAUAAAGCAAUACAUCAACGCAAUCUGUAUAACCAUGAAAACCACAACAGCUUCAGUGUUUCUUCUUUUCAUCAUCUUCUCAGUCACACCAUCAUCUUUUUUGUUUGGUGUAGCCAACGCUACAAACGAACCUGUACUCGACAUUGAUGGCAACGAGGUUCAAACAGGCACCCCAUAUUACGUUGUGUCGUCCAUAUGGGGUGCUGGUGGUGGGGGGCUUGCCCUAGGCAGGCCUAGCGGAAACCCAUGCCCGGAAGUCGUUGCUCAAAGACGAUCCGGUGACGAUGGUAUUCCGGUGAUAUUUUCUAAUUCGGACUCCAACGAUGGCGUUGUUCGCCUAUCCUCUGACAUAAACAUAGAGUUCAUUCCCCUCAGACCCAAACUUUGCCGAACAACAACGGUGUGGAAGGUCGAUGAUUACGACCAUUCAGCCGGAAAAUGGUGGGUGAUAACGGAUGGGGUUAAAGGGAACCCGGGUGCCAACACUUUGACCAGUUGGUUUAGGAUAGAGAAGGCGGGUGAUCUUGAUUACACAUUUAAGUACUGCCCUGCAGUAUGUGGAACAUGCCCAGCUUUAUGCAACAAAAUUACGAGAGACUCAGAUGGAGAAAUGGUACGUUUGGCUCUCUCCACUGGCAAUGGAUGGCCAUUUUACUUUAAGAAAGUUGGAAAAUCAGCCAUGGAGAUUCAACAAGUUGCUCGUAAUUAGAUUGAAAGCAAUCAUUAUGCAUGAACUAGUAGUUACUACAUAAUAUUAGCUUCAAGUAAAUAAUGCUGAGAGAACUUAUUGUUAAGAUUGCCUUGUUUGAAGCGGCAGCAUGUAUAUAUAUAUAUGCUUGCUUACAAGGUUAAUUUGUCUCUCAGAGUCCUCUUUGUACUCUUUUCAGCUUAAUGAAUAAACUGUUUACUUAUUUACUUCUUUUGUUGCCAUUGAUUCUAGUAGCAUUCGACUCAUUAACUUGGAUACAUUACCUUGUAAUUAACCAAAAAGUUAUGUAUAUAUAUAUAUAUAUCAAAACAAAACAAAAAAGAGAGUGAGAGAGGAAAAUAGACUACCAAGUACCAAGUGAAAAAUGGUAAUACUAAAUUUCCAGAUAUAUGGCAUUGUUUGUGUGUGACAAACACCAAGUAUAAAUAGGUGGAAGUAUGACUACUUAUCAAGAGUGGUAUGGUUCAAAAACUACCCCUAUCGAAUUAUUUCAUCCUACUCAUUCGUUAUCGAUAGGAAGAAGGAUACUUCCAACAAGAAAUAUUUUGAAGGGUUAGUGUUGAGUUAGCUAAAAAUCAAAGUUUAUCAGAAGCUCGAUCUAAAAUUCGCCAAAAGGAGGAUUAUUCAAAGCGAUUUCAAUAGACAACGGGAAUGGAAUAGUCUUUGAGUGGUUAGGGCACCUUAUCUUUUGAGAUAAAGAAGGGUUGGUCCAUGUUUGCAGUUCGUGACUAAUCCUUACAACAAUGUCGUUUUCAAGGAUUGAACAUGUGUCAUCCUUUGAACAUGUAAUGUGUCUUACAAUUACACCUAACAUUGUUGGUGAUUUACUUUAUUAUAUUCUUAAUUAAUAAUUAUGAUAUAUAGUAUGUUUAAGAUGCAUUUUCUUAUUCAUGUAUAUCAAUUGAAUCAAAUAUUUGUAUUUAAAAUUUUAACUCGACAUAUCGAAGGUCUGCUACUCUAGCACGUCUUUGGUCUGCUGCUCUAGCAUGUUUUGGUUUUUUUAGGGUUUUUUUGGCUUAUUUCUCUUUGUUCUAGCGAUGACAGUUCUUGGGAUAGAGUAUUUCUUUUCAAUCUGGUUGAUUUUGAUUCGUGGCAAUGGAGGAUGAAUUGGCAGAGUUAACAUUGGAAGAUGAGGAAUAGGAGAUUUUGCAAGUACAGAAGGAAACUGAUUCUGCGACAGUGGUUUAAGAUCUUUGUCUGGUUGGAUACUUUCUCACAACGAGUGUAAUCCACUUUAUGACAAUGAGAAGCGCGAUGGCAAAUCUAUGGCAUCCUCUUAGAGGAGUUCAGAUCUCUAAUUUGGGGGAUAAGAAAUUAUUUCAAUUUUUUCAUAAAAUGGAUAUUGAUAGGGUACUAAAUGGGGAUCCAUGGACUUUCAAUAAUCAUCUUUUGGUGAUUCAUUUUUUGGAGGAUGGUGAGGAUCCGAUGAAGGUACCGCUAAUCUAUACGACUUUUAAGGUGCAAGUGCAUGAUUUACCCCCAGGGUUUUUUACUGAAUCUAUAGCAAAGAAGUUAGGCAAUUUUAAGGGUAAGUUUUUUGGAUCAAUGGAAAAAGCUUGGGUAAGGGCCUCAGGAAUUUCUUACAUAUACGGGUUUAGAUGGAUGUUAGAUGCUAUUUGAAGCGAAAAAAGAAGAUUAUGUUUUCACUUGGCAAGUGUUCCUAUGUCAACUUGAUAUACGAAUGACUAACUCUAUUCUAUUUUGUCUAUGGUUGUUUGGUAGACAAUGACUCUUUCUGUCAAGUUAGAAUGGCUAAAGGCUUAGAAGUUGUAGAGAUGGGAUGGUAUCUGUCUCUAAAAGCCCAGUCUAGGAGAGCUACUACGAUGAACAGCGUGUGGCUGCGGGAGGAAGGUAAAGGUGAGAUAAAGGGAAAUACCAUAGGACAUUUUGAUUUAGGGUAGGGAUUGUGGAAGGAUGGAAGGAAAGAAUCUAGGAUGCCCAUAGAUCUGUGUUGGGGUUAAAUUUGGAGGGUGGUUUGAAGUUAGUGUCGGGUAUGCAAGGGAACUCUUCAACGAUACAAGAUCAUUCGAAUAUGGAUCACGACUCAGAGGAAUGCGCUAUAAAAGGUAAAGAUGGGAAAAAAAGACCCAAAAAGGAUAAUGGAAAUCAUAGUGUUUCGAUUGUGACAGAUUCACUUGUGAUUAGAGAUGAGAGAUUGUUGGGACGAACUCACUUUUUAUCGGCAGCUGCCAAGGGGCAAGAUGAUCAGUCACAAUAAAAAUAAUUAGUUGGAACAUCCGUUGAUUGGGGUGUCCACAGGCUAUAAGAAGGCUUUGACAUAUGUUGAAGGUGUAUAAUCCCCAAGUGGUCUUCUUUAUGGAGACAAAAAUUAGUAAUGUGCAAAUAGAGAAUGUGCAUAGAAGGUGUGGAUUUUUAAAUGGUAUUGAUGUUUCGGCCGAUGGUUCAAGAGGAGGUCAUUUUCUAGCUUGGAAGGAAAAUGUUAAAACGAAUCUAAUGAGUUAUUCUAGUAGUCAUGUAGAUGUUGUAUUUUAGAAGAUUGAUAAUGGAGGUUUGCUGGCUUUUAUGGGACAUCAAAUGCGUGUAGCAGAGACGAUUCAUGGAAUUUGUUAAGAAAUCUAGGACGCUCUCAAGCGUUCCCUUGGCUAGUGUGUGACAAUUUUAAUGAAAUUAUAUACUCUUUUGAAAAGGUUGGGGUGCCAAGAGAGGAGAAGAGAAUAGAGGUCUUUUGAGGAGUCUUAUAGGAAUGUUAGUUAAUGGACAUUGGAUACUUUAGGGCUAGGUUUACCUGGGAAAGGGGAAACUUACCGAAAACGAAUAUGAGAGAGCGACUGGAUAGAGGAGUGGCGAAUGCCGAAUGGAUGAACAUGUUUUCUAGUGCAGUGGUUUAGCAUUUACCACAUUCUUUUCCAGAUCAUUGUCCCCUUUUUAAUCAUACGGAGCAGGAGAGUAAUAGGUUGAGGCAGAAAAGGUUUCAGUCCGAGGCAUGGUGGGUGAUGUAAGAAUCUUUUGAGGAGGAGGUUAAACAAAUAUGUCAAUCUACUUCGGGUGAUAUGUUGGCUAAGCUAGAAGGUGUGAGGAAGGGCUUAGUGAGAUGGGCGGGUUUUGUUAGAAAUAAAAGAGAGGGCCUUAAAAGGAAUUUGACUAGAAAAUUGGAGGAGAUGAUGGGAAAGGAUAGAGAUGAUGAGAAUAUUGUUGAACUAUCUUAAAAUUCUCUUGUCAUAACUUGAAGUUUGUGUCAUUUAAUAUAAGAAUACAAUUAAUGCCUGCAAUAAUGUUGGCAGGUAUAAUUAUUGUUGUAUCAAACAAAACAAUCUCAUGUAUGACUUCAAAUAUAAAACAAAAUAAUAAUUAAUUCGAAUAAAGGUAAACCCUAAGAUACCAAUCACUCCAUUAAUAUUUCAUUUUUGAACAAAUAUAUUAAGUUGUAAAUGAUAUCUUGGUGUAGUAAUUAAACACCGACAAUAAGCGUCACAUGUUUAUUACAACAGUUGCAAAUGUAAUUUUGUUAAAUAUUAGCCUCCAUUUAGGCCAGUCAAUAUUAACAUAACUUAAGUUACAUACACACAACCCCAAAAUUAUAAAAGUCCUAUUGUUAAAUUGAUUUGGUUCCUUUGACAUAGGAAAGCCGAAUUGCAUAAACAAUCAAUGUAUCCCCUAUUUUAUUCAUGUUUAUCACAAUGUUUGAAGGAGUGCUCACUCUUUUAGGGCGUGUUUACCAUUGAGGUUGAAAAGUAUCAUUAAACCCAAACAAUUAUUUCAAACCAAACAUUAAUUUUAAACUAGGAUUUUAGGCCAACCCAAAACUUCUAGCUUUUACUUUUUGGAAAGGUGCUUUUCAAUUAAAAACCUUUUUAUUCCUCGUUAAACUUUCUACUUUAUAACAUAAUGUCUAAAAUGGAAAUUUUAUUUUUCUAAAAACACUUAUAGACAACAAUAAUAAUUACUAUUAAUUUUUUCAAAAUCACUUUUCUACGGCACUGUUAAACUUAAAUGAUAAUCUAGCCUUUUAACCACUCUUUUCUAACAGAGAGCUUAUCUCUUAGCAAUAGUUUGGGCAAACAAAAAUAAUGUAUAUAUGAAAACGAAUAUUGAAUUUGAAUGUACAAUCAAUUUUCUGAAUAAUUAAUUAAAAAGAAUGUUUGAAUUCAAAAAUUUUAAAAAUUUUGAUAAAAAAUGUGGAAGCGCAGACUUGUGUGAUGAAUAGUAAUGAUAAUAAUGAUAGAAGCUGUUUCCUGGCACGAGGAACUUAUGGAAUUCGUCCAUUUGGUUCUAUAUUAGCCCUGUUGCUUCCGUGUUUAAGAGUAAAACGACAAAAUAUUAAGUAGAAAACACCAAACGAAUUGAACUAUUUUCUUAAGAUGGUGUCGGUAAUGUAUCUGUGGAUACCCAUUUGAAUUUUUAAAAAACUGAAAAAAUUAAUUUAUUUUUUAGAUUGAAUCAGCAGCAGGAAAAUAAGAAAAAAUACAACUUUGAGUUUGAGUUUGGAACUCUGAGAUUUCGCUCGGUGAUCUGAAUGGUGAGGUGGUAUGUUUAAAUACGGAGAAUAAUAUAUAUUCGACUAGCAACAAUCUGAUGGAGUGAAAUAGGAACUGAAAAAAAGGGUAAUUUAAAGUUUUGGUCAUUGUUUUAAAAGAUUACCUUCAGUCAUUAUAUUUUUCAGUUUUGGAAUUCCAGUACUACUUAAAUUGUAAUUGUUAAAUCUAUUUACUAUAAUGAUAUAAAAUUUUUAUGAAUAUUAACACUAUUAUUUUUUUUAAAGCACUUAUUCAUGGCACAAGGAACUUAUGAUGAAUAGUAAUGAUAAUAAUGAUAGAAGUUGUUUUUCUGGCACAAGGAACUUAUGAUGAAUAGUAAUGAUAAUAAUGAUAGAAGUUGUUUUCCUGGCACAAGCAACUUAUGGGAUUCGUCCAUUUGGUUCUAUAUUUCUCCGCUUGCUUGAGCGUUUAAGAGUUAAAGGACAAAUUAUUAAGUAGAAAACACCAAACGAAUUGGAAGGCUUUUGUCUUCUUCAAUUGGUAUGACCUAUAUUUCUUAUUAAACUUCGUAUUUUACAUUCAAUAUCAUCAUCACAAUCAUUUUAAUUUAUUUUCAUGAAUAAACUUUUAUGUCUCAUUUUAAUUGAAUCAUUAAAAUUUAUUAAUUGAAUUUUUUUUUAAGAUGGUACCGUUAAUGUGUCAAGUGAUAUCAAUUUAAAUUUUUAAAAAAAGUUGUUUGAAUUAAUUUGAUUUCAUUCGGUAAUCCAAACAGUGAGAUAGUGUGUUUAACUACGGGGAAUAACAUAUAUCCAAAUGGUGACAAUCUGGUGGAGCGAAACAGAUAUCGAAGAAAGAGUAGUUUAAUGAAUUUGGAGUCGACUUCUGGAAAAUCUGAAUUAUAGAAGUGAACGAAGAGGAAAUCUCUUCUUUGGUGCCGUAAUCGACAUAAACGGCCAUUAUGAAUGGCAACAUCGAUAAUUAUUGAGUACAAUGAUUAAAAUUUUCAGUUAAAAAAAAGGAAUGGAAAGGAAAACAAAAAGAAAAACGUGGAAAGAAAGAAAGAAUAAUAAUAAUUAAUUAAUAAAUAAAAAGAGAAUUGUGGGGGCGAUGCUUUUGAACAAAUCUUGAUUUAAACUAUGUAAAGAAAAUAUGCGUUAUAUAUAUAAUUAAUUAUGCACUUAUACUUAAUAUAUUAUAUAUUUAAUGUCAUAUUUUCAUAUUCUCGGGAAGUGGUAAUAUACAAGUACUUGAUUUGAUUUAUUUCUUGAUCGCUUCGUGAAUUUUAUGUUUGUAACAAUAGGGACAGAAUUUCUUCAAUUCCAAUCGACUGGGCGUAUUGUGUCAAUUUUUUUUGAGUAAUAUACCUAGAAAUACCCGUUGAUUCCUUAUAAACGCCGUUUCAAACACAACUGGUACACCCCAAAAUAACCGUUACUCAGACAUCUUUACUAUUGACCAUGAACCUCCUUUGAGUUUUUAAUUCACCUAACUUUUCUAUUUUUCAAUCAAAAGCGAAGAAGAAAGGAAUGAAAAAAAGAAAGAAAUCAAAGUUGCUAACUCAAAACAAAUCCUGACAAUUUUGGUUGCAAUCAAUAUAGCAAGUCAAUAUAAAUUUAUAGUAAUAGCAAAUAAUAAGAAUAAGUAAUACAACGAUUUCUAACUCUAUUUAGAAUCAAAUCAGAGUAUGGUAUUUUCUUUAAUCAAUUAAUUGAAUUCAAAAUAUUCAAUUAAAAUAAAUUAAAUUGUAUAAAUUUUAUAAUUUUAAAUUAUUAUUUUUGUAUUAAUUUAAAACAAAAUAAAUAUUAUAUACAAUAAUUUAGUUGCAGCAUGUCAGCUUGAAGUCCAAGACCUUAUAACAUAUAAAUUUAAUAGAUAAUUAAUAACUAAAAAAUUAAAUAGCAAAAGCAUAAUUGCGCCACUUCUCACCAUUUUAGUGUAUGCAACUUAUUAUAUAUUUAUAUAUAUUAUCAUUUCAUUUUAAAUAAUUUAAUUUUUAUAUUAAUUUUUAUAAAUUUAGGGAUAAAUCUUAAAAUUAUACAUAAACUUUAAUUUAAUGUGUAAUUGCAUACAUAAACUUUAAUUUGGUACAAUUAUACACAUGAUACUCUAAUUGUGGUUCAAAUACAUACUUGAAACUUUAAUUUUGAUUUAAUCAUACACAUUUAAAUAAAUAAAUACAUCAAUUUAUUUUUAUAUUGGGUAAAUAUAUUUAUGUAUGCAAUAUAUAACAUAAAAUGAUGUUAUAUCAAUAAUUGUGUUAAUAAUUUUCAAGAAUUGGAUCAAAUCAAAAUUUCAUGUAUAAAAUUGCACAAAAUCAAAGUUCAUGUAUACAAUUGCACAUUAAACCAUAAUUCAUGUACAGUUUUAGUAUUUAUCCCAUAAUUUAUUAAAUAAACUUUUUACCUAUAUCAUAUAUAGAGUUGUCUGUGAACCGAGCCAAGGAAUGCCCGCUCGAAAAAAUGAGGGUUUAAGAAAAAAAAUAUGCCCAAAAAAAGGGCUUGGAUAAAAAGACAAGGCCCGUUUAGAAAAUGAAUCGGGCCUUUGCUAAGGUUUUUUUUGUCCAAGCUCAGCCCGACCCAAAUUUUCAAUAAAAAAACCCUACUGUUUUUACCGCUAUUUUUUCAUAUUUUGGUGUUGUUUUCUCACUUUUUGCCACUGGUUUACUAUCAUUUCACUAUUAUGUUACUACUAUUUUUUUUGUUAAUGUUUGGAUAUUGUAUAACACUUGUUUUAUUGUUAAUUUUGUCACUAUUUUAGAGGCAUUUGUUUGUUAUGUUGUACUUAUCUUAGUUUUUAUUUAAGUAUAAAAAAUUUUUAAAUUCUAUUUUCAAUUUAUUGGAAACAUGUAAUUUAAUAUUUGUAGUAUAUUUGGUGUAUUAUAAUAAUAUUUAUUAUUAAAAUAUUAAUAUUGAAUAUUUUCAAUAAUAUGUGAAGAAUAUUAUUUAAAAUUAUUUUUUAAAAUUUAUUAUUAAAUUAAAAUUGAAAUAUUAAAUAAUUUAUUAAAAUAAUUAAUUAUAUUAAUAAUUAAUUAUAUGACUAAAUAUAAAUAAUUAAAUAUGUAUGUUUAAUAAUAUUGAAAAAUAUAAUAUUUUAUAUUAAUAUUUUAAAUAUUUUUAAAAAUAAAAAUAAAAGUUAUUUUUAAUAUAAUAAUAUUAAGCUUGAUUUAAAUUAAUUUUUAUAUAAAAAUAAAAUUACCUAUAGAUGAGCUCAUUUUUUAGAAAAUGACUUACACUUUUCAAAAUGAUAAGUCAUUUUAUAGGAAAAAGAGCUAAUUUUACGUUGACCUAUAAGUCAUUUUCCGUUGACCAAACUGUUUUCUGUAAAACAAACAUAGAAAAAUGCAGAAAAUAGUUUCCGUAAAACUUUUUACAUGUAAACAAAUGGACCCUUAAUUCAAGCUUAUUCCAACAUAACCCACUUCACUAUUAGCAUGACUCUCCCUUAUACUAAAUUUAACCAUUAACCCUUCUCAUGAUUUCUAACAAAAAUUUUCAAGUUCUCUUUAAUGGCAACUUGUAUUAACUUCAACAAUAAGAAAUUCUAACUAUGGGGUUGGUUGUAUCAAGUUUCAUAGUUUAAAAAUCUAUAAAAAAAUUAUUGAGAAAAUAAUUUGUUUACCUUUGAUGGCCUUGAUGGAGAACAACUUGGUUUCUUCUUCUACUUAGUUUAAAGAAUGCAUGAAGAAGAAGAAGAUUUCCCCUCUCCCACUAUUUUAAAUAUAUAUAUAAAUAACCUAUUAAUCAAGGUAAUUAAGUCACUAAUUAACCUUAAUUAGUUAUGAUCUAAUGGCCAUAAACUUAUCAUGAGAAAAUUAGUGGAAAUGUGCGGCAUUGAUAAUGGUUUGCCAAUAAUCAAACUUUGGGCAUGGUAAUAUUGCAAUCAGGUUUUUGGUAUAAUUACACUUUUAAGUACUUGCUAAAUUCUGUAAUCAAUUCCCACUAGUUGGGUCACUUGAACAAUUGGGUCCAUGUACUAUAGUUACAACUUAUCCAAUUUAAUCAAUUAAUGAUUUGACUUUAUAAUUUCAUGUACAACACACAAACUCCUCUAGUAAAUUCUCGAGCUAGCUUUAUUUAAAAAUUUGGCCUCAAAAAUAGCUUUCCAAAUGUUCAUGAAAAUUGAGUCGUUACAUAUGGUAUUUGUUUUGUUCAGCUUAUUUGUCAGGCUCUAUAUCCUUUGAACUUAUGUUCGUUGACUUUGGUGUUGCUUAAAUGAAAAUGUGGUGAACAAUCUUAUGGAUAGGAGGAGUGUAUGAUUGAGUAUGUGUAACACCCUUAACCCACAUCCUUCGCCGAAUUAGAGUGACAGAGUGUUACUUGUAACACCCCAAACCCAGCCUAAACGUUAUGGUCGUAUCUGGCAAUGUCACACAAUAGUGUUUUUGAAACCUCGUUGUUACGUUGAAAACAUUUCAUGUUAUUAUCUUUAGUAAACAUUUGUUAGAACUUAGGAAGUCGUCUUUAUUCAUUUAAAACAUUUGUUUUGAAACAUCCCUCGUUGCGGAAGCUUUAAUAAAACAGUCUAAGUGAUCAUGCGUUUAGAAACUAUUUUAAUUUUUUGAAAACUGAAUUUCCUACGACCAACAGGUAUAAAUCCAUAAAGUAAAAUAAAUAAAUAAAAACCCAAAAUUUAAAACCAAAGUCCCAGAAGGUCCUUAAAUUACAACCCAAAUAAUCAAUAAUAAUUAAAUCAUAAAACGUAAAUUGAAAACCAUGAAGUCCAAAAAUUACUGUGGUCACCGCUGAGUCCUCCGUCGCACCGAUUCGUCUAAGUCUGGGGAUUACCUGUGCACGUUAAACAAAAAGGGUGAGUUUACGUAAAUUCAGUGUGUAGUCCCGCAGAAACAAAUAAACAAUCAGUAUUCACAGUGCACAGUUGAACAGUCUUGGGCCCAAGCCCAUCUCAGUACAAUGUCAAAAAUGCAGUAGCAGAAUCCUACCCAACCAACCUCCACACACUAUCUCCGCCCAACCCUACACUCCAUGUGGGGAUAUAAUCAACCCACCCAUCCCUACACUCCAAGUAGUACCGAAUGCGGCACAAAACAGUAGUUUGCAGCUGAGCUGCCAGUAAAUUAGGCUUAAAGCCUUUCAGUACACUUCCUCUGAAUAACAACCCCCAACCCGAUGCAAUGCAACAUACAAUAGAUGAUAUGCUAUUAUGCAAUUUCUGUACAUAUAUUUGGUUCAGAUAUUAACAUGCCCAGUAUAGAUAUCAUUCAGUCAAUUUCACACAUUUAGGGGUCUAAGUAGCGCUUACCGACCUUACAGUAGGUUCACAGUUGACUUGGGUGACCCGUACAACCUUAGAAACAUUCCGGUAAAAUUGGGCUACAUGCCCGUGUGUGCCCGUGUGGCCCACUCGGCCCAAUUUGGCCUUGGUCGUGUGAUCCAUUUUUAAUGUAACCCAUGCUAGCUAAAUAUUCAUAUAUGUUUUCACUAUUUACUUAUAUGUUCAUUUAAAGUUGUCUACUUGAGUCAUUGUCACUAAAUUAUUUAUACCUUGAGCUACAGAAUUCCAAAUUAAGAUCCGCUUGAUGUUUUCAAAACUAUACUCAAAUACCUUUCUACCAUAAAAUUUUCAAAUUUUAUAGUUUACCAAAUAAGUACAGUAAAAUCUUCAAAUUUAUCCCAAUUCUGCUAUUUGAUAGCUUCAACGUUUCCUUACUAAAAAUUAUUUAUCUCUUAGUACGGAAUUCGGAUGAUGUUUCCUUUGUUUCUCUUGAAAAUAGACUCGUUAAGGAUUUAAACAUAUAAAUUUAAGCCCCUAAUUAUUUUUUAAAAUUUUCGAUGAUUUUUCCAAAAUCAGAACAAGGAACCAAAACCCAUUCUAACAUUGUCUCACAAAAUUCAUUAUAUCUCAUAACUUAAAAUUUCAUUGCUUACACAGUUUCCUUCAUGAAAAACUAGACUCAAUAAAAUUUAAUAUCAUAUUUUAUUCAACCUCUAACUCAAUUUCCCCUAUUUUUGAUGAUUUUUCAAAGUUAGACUACUACUGCUGUCCAAAACUAUUUUAAUGCAGAAUGUUGAUUUCCAAGUUUAAAACACCCUUAUUUCCUUUCUCUACAAUUUUUUGCAUCAUUUUCUCUUAUUUCUCGUAUUUCUCGAUAGCAAGCAAUUUCAGCUUUUCGUUGAAUCCCAUUUUCUGCAUUUUGGGUACACACCUGGUAUCGUUUCUGAUGCGUAAGCACUCUUAAGCCUCCAGAACCUAAAAAUCGACCAAUAAAUCUCCAAAUUAAUCACUUAAUUCAUUUUUAAUCAACCAAUUUUGGAAGGAACUCGACUAAAAAAACCUAACAAAACCCUUACCUUGCUUCAGUAACCACGACUUCGCACAAUCAUAGUGUCGAUUCAAAACCACCAACCCCUUGAUUAACUCAUAAACACCAAAAAAGAAACCCCUUUUCAGAGAUUAACCAAGAACGAUUAACAAUAGAAAAAACUGUUACUUACCGAACACACGCAACCAACGAUGAACAACCAAAUCAAUUGGAAAAUAAUGAAAGAAAAGGAAGAGAAAAAAAUAAUGGAAAUUUCGGCAGCAACUAGGGGAAAGAAUCGGUAGAGGAGAGAAAAAAGAAGAAAAAAUCAGAAAAAGUUUGGGUAAUUGGAGAGAAAACCAAAACUCUACUUUUUUUUCUACAACAAAAAGAUAAUCAGAUUAUUUUCUGAUAACCUCUCCCCCAUUAUCUCCUAAAAUCACUCCUUAUUAACCCACUAAAACACAACUACUCAGAAUUUUACCCCAACACAACUCUUAGCCAAAAUUGGAGCAAAAAUACUGUCUCUACGCCAUCAUAGAGAAUUGAACAUAAGACCUCCUUCACACCAACACUCCAUUUAUCCACCAGACCAGCAAGCCCAUUCUGUUAAUUAUUUGUCAUCUUUUACUUAAAAGCCUACUGACCAAAGAUAGGGCUUAUUCAUAAAAAUACCAAAAUUUUCCCAAAACCUGGCUUGAACUUGGGACCUCUCACACACCCAAAACACUUAACCACUAAAGCAGAUACACAAUUGUGUCACACCUUCGUAAGAACAAAAAUAAAAAUUUUGGGACGUUACGUUACUAUACAAAAUAGAACAUUUCAUGACAACACAUAAAUAAUUAUGCAAAUUAUCACAAUCAUUAAUUAACCAUAUUAAAAUAUAACAUAAAUAUCCAUACGACCUUUAAAUCGAGCUUAUAUGUCCCUAAAAAUAGCUUGAGAUCAAUCUAGGAUCAAUUUUGAACAAAAACAUAAAUUUUAAAAAAACCCUAAAAAUUUUGGAAAACAUGGGUCACACAGCCGUGUGUCCAGGCCAUGUGACAUAGCCCAGACCUUGUGGGCAUUCAAAAUCAGGUAACGCAGUCAUGUCCCAGCCCGUAUGUCUACUUGUGUGAAUAUUCGAAAUAGGGUCUCACGGUCGUGUCGAGGAUCGUAUGCUAAACCGUGUGUAUAUUCAAAUUAUGGACACACGGCCGUGUCGCAGGCCAUGUGCUAGACCUUGCUCAAAACUAUUUUGAGACACACAGCUGUGUCUUAGACUGUGUGAAAUUUUCACUUUAAACAACAACACACAGCCGUAUCCUAAGCCGUGUGCACCAAAAUGUACCUUAAAAAUCAAAUUUACCAAAACAUGUUUACUUAGGCAUCAAGCAACCUAAUUACCAUCAAUUAAACUCAUUCAAAACACGAUUAAACAUGUUCAAAAUAUCCAUCCUAAGUUCCUAACCAUUGUGCCCUCAUUGACACCAUAAUUCAAUAAUCAAAUCAAUCACAUUUAAACCAAGAUUUAAACAUUCAAAUUAUAAAAUCACCAUUAACCAUUCAUACCAAAACACUACUCAUUUCAAGUCAUAAACACCUAGCAAUAUUCACAUACUUUAUAAAGCUUAACUACCAAUACCAAAUAAGAUCCAUACACACAUACAUACCAAACAAAACACAUAUUCACAAGUAUCAUUCAAGGUUUACAACUUUACAUGUAAUUAACAUGAUUUCAAGUCACUUAUUACAUGUCAUAUAACCCAAAACAAACAUUAAACAAACUACCAAUAGUUUCUCGAAUAGUUGAUUCUUGAUCUUGAUCUAUAAUAUAAUUUAUUUCAAUUAUUAGCCUCAAUUUUCAUAUUCUAAUCAUUUCAAUACAUAUGAUCUCUUGUUUACAAAUUUACAUAAUUACCCUAAAUUUUUACACAUUAUUCAAUUUAAUCCCUAUGACCAAAUCAAGCUUAGUUCUACAAUUAAAUUCUCAAUCCAUAGAACUAAAUUUUAACCACAUCCAAAACAAUUCAUAUAUGCUAAAAUUUUCAAGAGUAACAUGUCUAUUUCAAUUAAAUCACUAAACAUCAAAAUUUGUAAAAAUCACUUUACAAACUCAAUACAUAUCAUCACCAAGCUUCAACCCAAACUAUUUAAUAUUACAAAUCUUCAAAAUUUUCAAUACAUAAUUUCUAUACUUUGAUAACUUCACAAAUAAACUCCAAAACUAGCUAAAUUCCAUUAUCAAUAGCUCAAAACUUAAAUUUUAUGAUAAAUAAACCAAGAAAAUACUUACAUGCAUUAAAAACUAUCAAAAACCAAGCUCCCAAGCCUUAGAACAAAGGUGUUUCGGCCAAACCUAAGAAAAAUAAAGAAGAUGACCACUACCCCACUUUUGUUUUACUUUCUUUUUAUUAUUAUUAUAAUGUUUAUUUAUGAAAUUAUAACAUUAUCAAACACCAAUUUGAUAUUGUUUUUCUCUCUUUACCGCCCAUAUUAACUAACUAUGGGCUAAUGGCAACAUAACCCCCCUUAGUUUACUAAUUUAAGCUGUUAUAUUAAAAUAAAUCAAUAAUAAGCAACUUUUCCACCUAUUACAAAUUAAUCCUUUUUCUUUAAUCAAUUCACUAUACGUUAAAUUUUCUAAACCAAAACUUAAUAUAACACUGAUGACUUUGUAAAUAUUAAAUAAUUAAUAAUUUUAGAUUGACACGUCGAAAUUGUGGUCCUAAAAUCAUUAUUUUCAACACCACUAGAAAUCGGACUGUUAUAGUAUGGUUCUACCUCUUAGGGGGAGAUGUAUUCUAGUUUCCUUUCACUUGUUUAGAUGAUGUGUUAAUCAUUUGCUAUUGGUUUUGUCAAAAUGCCAAAUGGUGAGAUUGUUUGAACUUUGACUUCUUUUCUUAUUUCACUUCAUGUUCGAAGAGUAGAUUAAACCAUGCUUUGAUGCAUUCAAAGAAUUUAUGUUGGUAUAUUUGAUUUUAUAAUGAAAUGGCUUAUAGUUUAAUCUCGUUGAGUAGCAAAUGGGGAAGUGAUUUUGUAUUAUAACAUGUGAUGAUCAUUAUCUUUCAAUCAACUACCUUGGAAAAGAACGAGAGGAGUUUGAACUUUUGGGGACUUUCGUAAUAUUUGAAGCUGCUGAGAUAUUUGUUUAUAAAGACUUUUAUUUAUCAUUAAUCAAAAUAAUUCAUGAGAUAAUUUCAACCUUUAUAUUGGAGUUCUAAACUUAUGAAGACUCUAUUAUUGGCCUAUAAAUAGGCAUAAUUACCGCACAUUGAAAAUAGGCUUUUGGAGGGUUUGGAUACUUUGGUGAAUUUUUCAUUGGGCUAUAAAUAGGCAUAAUUACCGCACAUUGAAAAUAGGCUUUUGGAGGGUUUAAGUUGGAUACUUCAGUAAAUUUUUCUUGUGUUUUAUACCACACUCUUUUUAAGUUUUAUUGGAGAUAUUUAUUUGAUUGUAAGUGAGGUAUUUUGGAGAGAAUGAUUUAUAAUAAUUUAGGUUCAAUAUUAAAGUUGCAAAUAAUUACGGGUAAAAGUAAUUUGGACUGUAGUCAAUAGUUGAUCAAGACGAAUUGUAAAUUAAAAUUAUUUUCUAAGUAAAAUUCUACAAAAUAAAACUGGUAAAUUCAAACUGCGUUAAUAAAUAUUACAUAUUAUCUUUCCUUACUUUACUCGUUGCUUUACCUUAUUUUAAAAUUGUUUUGUUAUAAUCUAUUAUGUUUGAACCUUUUCGAUCGAAAUAAAAAAAAUGAGAUUGAAAUUGUGAUAAAGCUAAAAAAAGGUUACAACAAAUAUGAUUAAUAUUAUUUUUUAUAUAUACUUAAUAAAAGUUAAAAAGGGAAUUCCAUUUAUUGAAUAUUAUUUUAUUUAAUAAAAUAUAUUUUAUAUAUUUUAUAUAAAAUUUAAACAUUUUAUUGUUUGUUAGUUAAAUUUUAUUAUUUUUAUUUUCUUUAUGAAUAAAAAUAAUUUUCCUAAAAUAUGAGAUAAAAAAUGUUAUAGAGAAUUAAAUUAAUAAAAAGUACAGUUCAUACUUUAUAAUUAUUAUAAAUGAAAAAAUAUUAUGAAAAAAUAUUAAACAUAAAAAAUUAAUUCUAAAAUAAACUUAACUAUAAUAAAAUAAUUUUAUAUAAAAAAAGAAAUUAUAGAAAAGACUUAUUGAAUAUAUUUCCAAUUUUCGACAUUCAUAAAACAAAAAAUAAAAAAAGUGGUUCUAAUAAUUUAUUUAUACAAAAAAAAAAAAGUGGUCCUGACGUUCAUCCUUUCCCAUCUCUAUAAAUUUGCAUGCAGAACUAAAGCAACACAUAUCAACACAAUCUGUAUAACCAUGAAAACCACAACAGCUUCGGUGUUUCUUCUUUUCAUCAUCUUCUCAAUCACACCAUCGUCCUUUUCGUUUGGUGUGGCCAACUCUACAAACGCUCCUGUGCUCGACAGUGAUGGCAACGAGCUCCGCACGGGCACCCCAUACUUCGUUGUGUCGUCGAUAUGGGGUGCUGGUGGUGGGGGGCUUGCCCUAGGCAUGCCUAGCGGAAACCCAUGCCCGGAAGUCGUUGCUCAAAGAGGAUCCGGUGACGAUGGUAUUCCGGUGAUAUUUUCUAAUUCGGACUCCAACGAUGGCGUUGUUCGCCUAUCCUCUGACAUAAACAUAGAGUUCAUUCCCCUCAGACCCAAACUUUGCCGAACAACAACGGUGUGGAAGGUCGAUGAUUACGACCACUCAGCCGGAAAAUGGUGGGUGAUAACCGAUGGGGUUAAAGGGAACCCGGGUGCCAACACUUUGACCAGUUGGUUUAGAAUAGAGAAGUUGGGUGAUCUUGAUUACACAUUUAAGUACUGCCCCGCAGUAUGUGGAACAUGCCCAGCUUUAUGCAACGAAAUUGUGAGAGACUCAGAUGGAGAAAUGAUACGUUUGGCUCUCUCCAAUGGCCAUGGAUGGCAAUUUUACUUUAAGAAAGUUGAAACAUCAGCCAUGGAGAUUCAACAAGUUCAUAAUUAGAUUGAAAGCAAUCAUUAUGCAUGAACUAGUAGUUACUAUACAUUAUUACCUUCAAGUAAAUAAUGCCGAGAGAACUGAUUGUUAAUUAAGAUUGCCUUGUUUGAAGCAGCAGCAUGAAUAUAUAUAUAUGCUUGCUUACAAGGUUUGUCUCUCAGAGUCCUUCUCUUUGUACUCUUUCCAGCUUAAUGUAUAAACUGUCUACUUAUUUACUUCUUUUAUCGCCAUUGAUUCUAGUAGUAUUAGACUCAUUAACUUGGAUACAUUGUCUUGUAAUUAACCCAAAAAUUAUAUAUAUAUAAAAAAAGAGUGAGAGAGGAAAAUAGACUACCAAGUAACAAGCGAAAAACGGUAAUACUAGGGUUAUUUAGAGUGGUUUCAAUGCACAACGGGAAUGAAUUGUCGUUGGUUGGGUGGUUAGGGCACCUUACUUAUCUUUAGAGCUAAAGAAGGUUUCGUAACUACUCUUUCAAUAAUAUUAUUUUUAAGGUUCGAACCUGCAUUAUCCUUUGAACACGUAAUAUGUUUUAUCAUUACGCUCAACAUUAUUAAUGAUUUACUUUAUUCUAUUCUUAAUUAAUAAUUAUGAUAUAUAUUAAGUUUAAGAUGAAUUUUCUUAUUCAUGUAUAUCAAUUAAAUCAAAUAUUUGUAUUUAAAGUUUUAACCCAACAUUAACUUCUUCUUUUUUUUAUUUCUUUCUUUGUUGGUGAUGAUUAGGAGAUUGAUGGCCGGUCUUUGUGGUUGGUAGCUUUUAACACAAUGGCAAAGCCAAGGAGGCUUUAAAUGUUUAAAUGGAUUUUUUUUUCAUUUAAACUUCUUUAUAAUUUAUAAAAUUUUAAAUUAAUAAUGAUAAAAUUACAUUUUAAUCUUUUAAAAAUAAUAAAAAUGUGGAAGCACAUUUGUACGAUUAAUAAUAAUGAUAAGAUUUUUCCCACCACAUGGAAAUUUAUGGAAACGUCAUUGGGUUUUGUAUUUAUGUUUUAUUUGACACUCUUUUAAGUUUUAUUGGGAAGAUUUGCUUGAUUGUAAGUGAGGUAUUUUGGAGAGAAUGAUUUGUAACAAUUUAGAUUCAAUAUUCGAGUUGCAAAUAAAUAUAGAGUAAAGUAAUUUGGGCUUAGUGAAUUAUAGAAUAAAAUCAUAUUCUAAACAAAAUUUUAUAAAAUAAAAUUAAUGAAUCCUAACUAAGUUAACAAAUAUUUCUUCACUCUAGGCAUUGCUUCACCUUAUCUCAAAAUUGUUCUGUAAUAAUCUAUUUUGUCUCGACCUUUCCAACAGAAUUUAAAAUGAAACUAUUUCUGAUAAGUGCAGGCCAAAAACUUUUUCGCGUACCAAUAAAUGGCAAGCGACCAUACUGUGGGCCCAAUGUCCCAACAAUCAUCUAAACAUUUUUUUUAAUAAUAUGUAAUAAUUUAUAUACCAUAUAUGAAUAUUAAUUAAAAUAAUAUAAUAUGGACCCAAAUUGUUUCAUAUUUGAAAUCCAAUUUUUGAUAAUUUCACAUUUCAUAUUUUAUCUUAGAACAAAAAAAAUAUAUUUGAACUUAAUAUUUGGCCUAUUAAUCAAUGGUGUUUACUAUAUUUUAAGACUAUCGAAUUAAUCUAUCGACACUACUUGUAUGGUAUAAUUUAAAUGGGUGUGUGUGGGUAUAUAAAUUUGAAAUUCUAUUGUAUCAAAGAAAAAUUUAGAAAAAAAUAAAAAAAAAAAAGAAUUUGCAAUUUAUAAUUUGAGAUAAAAAUAAAAAAAUGAGAUUUGUGAUAAACCAUAAAUUAAGCUCAAAAAAAGUUACAACAAAUAUGGUUAAUGUUAUUUAUAUAUAUACUUAAUAAAAGUAAAAAUAUCGAAAUUCCAAUAUUAUUUUUAUUUAAUAAAAUAUAAUUAAUAUAUUUUAUAUAAAAUUUAAAUAUUUUAUUGAAAUAUUAUGUUAGGUAAAUUUAUAAAUAAAAUUAAUUUUACUAAAAUUUGAGAUAAGAGAAUUAAAUUAAUAAAAGGCAUAUUUCAUAUUUUAUAGUUAUUAUUAAUAAAAAAUUAUUAUAAAAAUAAAAAAUCAAUUCUACAACAUAAUGAAAUAUUUUUAUUAAAAAAACCAGAAAUGAUUGAUGGAAUAUAUUUCCAAUUUUCGACGUUCAUAAAAAAAAAAAGAGUGGUCCUAAUAAUUUAUUUAUUGGGAAAAAAAAAGUGGUCCUAUUAAUUUACCUCACAUUUGAAAUGUGUUAUAUGUAAUAAUAAUAAUAUCUAUAUAAAUUUUGGACGUUGAUCCUUUCCCAUCUCUAUAAAUUCGCAUGGAGAACUAAAGCAACACAUAUCAACACAAUUUAUAUAACCAUGAAAACCACAACAGCUUCGGUGUUUCUUCUUUUCAUCAUCUUCUCAGUCGCACUAUCGUCCUUUUUGUUUGGUGUAGCCAACGCUACAAACGACCCUGUGCUCGACAUUGAUGGCAACGAGGUUCAAACUGGCACCCCAUACUACGUUGUGUCGUCGAUAUGGGGUGCUGGUGGUGGGGGGCUUGCCCUAGGUAGGCCUAGAGGAAAGCCAUGCCCGGAAGUCGUUACUCAAAGACGAUCCGGUGACGAUGGUAUUCCGGUGAUAUUUUCUAAUUCGGACUCCAACGAUGGCAUUGUUCGCCUAUCCUCUGACAUAAACAUAGAGUUCAUUCCCCUCAGACCCAAACUUUGCCGAACAACAACGGUGUGGAAGGUCGAUGAUUACGACCAUUCAGCCGGAAAAUGGUGGGUGAUAACCGAUGGAGUUAAAGGGAACCCGGGUGCCAACACUUUGACCAGUUGGUUUAGAAUAGAGAAGGUGGGUGAUUUAAGUUACAAAUUUAAGUACUGCCCCACAGUAUGUGGAACAUGCCCAGCUUUAUGCAACGAAGUUGGGAAAGACUCAGAUGGAGAAAUGGUACGUUUUGCUCUCUCCACUGGCCCUGGAUGGUCAUUUUACUUUAAGAAAGUUGAAAAAUCAGCCAUGGAGAUUGAACAAGUUGUUCAUAUUUAGAUUGAAAGCAAUCAUUCUGCAUGAACUAGUAGUUAUUAUAUAAUAUUAGCUUCAAGUAAAUAAUGCUGAGAGAACUGAUUGUUAAGAUUGCCUUGUUUGAAGCAGCAGCAUGUAUAUAUAUAUAUGCUUGCUUACAAGGUUUGUCUCUCAGAGUCCUUCUCUUUGUACUCUUUUCAGCUUAAU